GCGGCCUAUCAGCUUGUUGGCGGUGUAAUGGACCACCAAGGCGACGACGGGUAGCUGGUCUGAGAGGAUGGCCAGCCACAUUGGGACUGAGAGACGGCCCAGACUCCUACGGGAGGCAGCAGUGGGGAAUCUUGCGCAAUGGCCGAAAGGCUGACGCAGCGACGCCGCGUGUGGGAUGAAGCAUUUCGGUGUGUAAACCACUGUUGCCCGGGACGAAACCGCCUUUUCGAGGGCGUUGACGGUACCGGGUGAGGAAGCACCGGCUAACUCCGUGCCAGCAGCCGCGGUAAUACGGAGGGUGCGAGCGCUGUCCGGAAUCACUGGGCGUAAAGGGCGCGUAGGCGGUUGGAGAAGGCUGUGGUGAAAGUCCGGGGCUCAACCCCGGAUCGGCCGUGGCGACUCUCUGACUGGAGCACUGUAGAGGCGGGUGGAAUUCCGGGUGUAGCGGUGGAAUGCGUAGAGAUCCGGAAGAACACCGGUGGCGAAGGCGGCCCGCUGGGCAGUAGCUGACGCUGAGGCGCGACAGCGUGGGGAGCAAACAGGAUUAGAUACCCUGGUAGUCCACGCCGUAAACGAUGGGCACUAGGUGCUUGGGGGAGCGACCCUCCGAGUGUCGGCGCUAACGCAUUAAGUGCCCCGCCUGGGGAGUACGG
rnacentral:rRNA from 1 species